CUGUGAUUGGCUGACUCUGCGGCCAAUGCGUGUCAGAGGCCGGCCGGAUAUUGCUGCUAGGGGCGGGUUUUAGAGCUGCGGACGGGGUGAGAGAGGACGGAGGUGCUGGCGGGGACUCGGCCGCGCUCGCAGUGGAGUGUCCGGGGAACUAGUGUGGGCUACAAAGUGACAUCGAAGUGCUGGAGAGGGUCUGGAGACAUUUGCAGCCCUUUACUUGGGAUACACGUUAUGAACCCUUUCUGGAGCAUGUCUACAAGUUCCUCACGCAAGAGACCUGAAACUGAAGAAAAGACUCUGACUGGAGAGUUGAGAACCAGUCCUCCACGAACCUCUACAAAGAAACAGCUGCCUUCUAUUCCAAAAAAUGCUGUGCCGAUGACCAAGCCUGCUUCUCCUGCCCCUUCAUCCCAGUCUACGAAUGGAACACAUGCCUCCUAUGGGCCUUUCUACUUGGAAUACUCUCUCCUUGCAGAAUUCACUUUGGUCGUAAAGCAGAAGCUGCCAGGAGUUUAUGUGCAGCCAUCUUACAGAUCAGCAUUAAUGUGGUUUGGAGUAAUAUUCAUAAGACAUGGCCUCUACCAGGAUGGUGUGUUCAAAUUUACAGUCUACAUCCCUGACAAUUACCCAGAUGGCGACUGCCCCCGAUUGGUGUUUGAUCUACCAGUCUUCCACCCACUAGUAGAUCCUCUCUCAGGUGAAUUAGAUGUGAAAAGAGCAUUUGCAAAAUGGAGGCGAAACCAUAAUCACAUAUGGCAAGUACUAAUGUAUGCUCGCAGAGUCUUCUACAAGAUUGAUACGACCAGUCCUUUGAAUCCGGAAGCUGCAGUGCUAUAUGAAAAAGACAUUCAGCUGUUCAAAAGUAAGGUGGUAGACAGUAUCAAACUAUGCAGCAGUCACUUAUUUGAUCAGCCUAAAAUAGAAGAUCCCUAUGCAAUUAGCUUUUCUCCAUGGAAUCCAGCUAUACAUGAUGAAGCUAGAGAGAAGAUGUUGACUCAGAAAGAACUCUGCUGGGAGGAGGAAAAUGAUUUACUAAAACUACUUGGAUGCUGCGGCUAUUCCCCUGGGGAAAUGUCAGCUCAACAGCAGAGCCAAGAACAUUUCUAGAACACUAGAAAUAACUUCCUUAAACAAUUUGGUCAAUACCAGGGUUGCUUCAUGUUUUACAAAAUAUAAAGCACAAGCCAUGGUAUUUCCUGGUCACUAGGGAUGCUGCUGUCACUCCCUAUACCAUGCACUUGCAAAGAAGAAGCCAGAAGAUCAACACUGCAAAAGCAUGCAGGUGUCUGGGCUGUCCUGGGUAAAGCCUGGUUCAGUGCAGCCUUUCAGUAAAGAAGAGAAGACCAUGCCUACCUAAUUCUUCUGGACCAUGAUGCACAAAACACUUUCUGUAGGUGGAGGGAAUGUAACGGAGAGAGAAACGGCAAACUAGCAGUUUCCUUCUUGACAAUGGAUUAGUAAAAACUGAACGAUAGCAGUGACUCAAGUAAACCUGCUCAAUGGAUUUUUGUGGACUCUUCUCAGUGUUUUACAUAUGCAUUAAGUUUUAACAGCAGCCUGGAGGAUGGAAGUAUCUCUAAACAUUGCAGUAAUUCUAUUAAUGAAGACUGCCUAGGAUGGUAACUCCCAGGGCUCCAAAAUGCCUGGAGGGUUUGUCUAAGCUUUUAUUUUCCUUUCAGGAAUAGCAAUUUUGAAUCUUAAACUGGCAGAAGUAUUAGCAGGAAAAACUGAUGCCAGAGGUAAGCUGUGUUCCUAUAAACUAAUAUAGCAGAGUUAAACACUAUAUAUUUAAUGAUUUUUAAAUACAUUGGUUUCUAUUGUAAAUACAUUAGGAUUUUAAAUUGUAAAUAGCGGGUUCAGUGACUCCAACUAGCACUUUCAAGAAAGGCAGAGCUGAGAUUGGCACUCGGCAUAUGAUAUAUUACUGACUUGCAAAUGGAUGUUGUCACUAAAGCACACAUUAGUCUGACAAGAUGAGAGCAGAGUGUUAGGUUUACUAGGCUUUUAUUACAUAAACACUAAAAAUCAGCUUUUAUUGGUGGUUUUGAUCUAAUAAAAUCUUAGAGGAUGUUAGACUUCCUAUGUGUUAAGACUGCAGGGAUUACUAGGCUAGUUUGGCUAAUGUGUGUUAAUAGUGACAUCUUAAAAAAUAAAAAAAAUCAUGUUAA